rnacentral:rRNA from 1 species
UACGUAGGGUGCGAGCGUUAAUCGGAAUUACUGGGCGUAAAGCGUGCGCAGGCGGUUCGUUGUGUCUGAUGUGAAAGCCCCGGGCUCAACUUGGGAACGGCAUUGGAAACUGGCGAGCUAGAGUGUGGCAGAGGGGGGUGGAAUUCCGCGUGUAGCAGUGAAAUGCGUAGAGAUGCGGAGGAACACCGAUGGCGAAGGCAGCCCCCUGGGCUGACACUGACGCUCAGGCACGAAAGCGUGGGGAGCAAACAGG